CUGAAGGUUUAUCAAACUGGAUGUGAAUGAGUGAAUGAGGAGGACUAAGAAAAGCAAAUCGCUGACUUUGAUCUGAAUCCACAGAUGCAACGGGAAACAGUGGUGUAAAGUCAAAGCCAGUAACUAUGUGUUCGGAGAUCCCUGCUAUGAAACCUACAAGUACCUGGAGGUGGAAUAUAUUUGUUACGAGGUUCCCCAGUCGUGCCCAGAAUAGAAGCAGAAGUCGCCUUCUUCAUCAGGAUGCUGAUGAAGACUCUGGUGCUGCUGCCCCAACAGAUGAUGGCUGAAGACAACAAACUGAGAGAAGAUCUGCAGCAUCUUGUUGAAAACCUGGAAGGAUCUUAGCGUCCUCAAGAAGCUGACAGAAAAUAAUCUGAAUUACAAUUAAACAUAACAAAUAAAGUAAUAUCACAGAUUAUAGCUUUGAAAAUCUUUUUAUUUUUCUUCCUGUUGUAUCAAACUUAAAGACAGUUUUUCUCUCCAACUGCUUCUCUUUGUAAACUUCUUCAGCCAAAAUAAAACAAAAAGCUGAAAGAGGAA